UACGGAGGAUGCAAGCGUUAUCCGGAAUGAUUGGGCGUAAAGCGUCCGCAGGUGGCAAUGUAAGUCUGCUGUUAAAGAGUCUAGCUCAACUAGAUAAAAGCAGUGGAAACUACAUAGCUAGAGUACGUUCGGGGCAGAGGGAAUUCCUGGUGUAGCGGUGAAAUGCGUAGAGAUCAGGAAGAACACCGGUGGCGAAGGCGCUCUGCUAGGCCGUAACUGACACUGAGGCGCGAAAGCGUGGGGAGCAAACAGG
rnacentral:rRNA from 1 species